GAAUUCCGGUGAUUGGUCUACCCGCAAAUAAUUUACGGGGAAUAACUCUGAUUAGUUUCUGAAUUAUUUUUUUCCUGGAAGAAAAGAUUGCUGUAGUGUUAGAGAAGAGGUAGAAAAUGAAGCCAGCAAUAGUAGCAGACGAAAUGUUUCCCGAAGGCGCUGGUCCAUACAUGGACAUAGAAGAGAUUUUGAUGACCUGUUUGAUGACGACGAUUUGUCAUGAUGAUUAGAUGUAGUUAGGAUGGGGAUGAUAAUGAUCUGUUAAACUAAUUGACUUCUGUUAAUAAUAUUUGAUUGAGGCUGUAUGAUUCUUGGAUAAAUUGUGAACCAAAUAGACCAUGCAUUAUUAUAGUGAAAGAGUUUCUAUUCAAGGGGCAUAACUCCUCAGGGAAUAAAACAACUAUGGUUUUUAAACUGAAA